rnacentral:rRNA from 1 species
GAUGAACGCUAGCGGCAGGCCUAAUACAUGCAAGUCGAGGGGCAGCGCGGUAGCAAUACUGGCGGCGACCGGCGCACGGGUGCGUAACACGUAUGCAACCUACCUUCAACUGGAGGAUAGCCCGGGGAAACUCGGAUUAAUACUCCAUAACACAGGGAUCCCGCAUGGGAAUAUUGUUAAAGCUACGGCGGUUGAAGAUGGGCAUGCGUUCGAUUAGCUAGUUGGUGUAGGUAACGGCUCACCAAGGCUACGAUCGAUAGGGGGUCUGAGAGGAUGAUCCCCCACACUGGUACUGAGAUACGGACCAGACUCCUACGGGAGGCAGCAGUAGGGAAUAUUGGUCAAUGGGCGCAAGCCUGAACCAGCCAUGCCGCGUGCAGGAAGAAGGCCCUCUGGGUUGUAAACUGCUUUGAUAGGGAACAAAUGCCACUUGCGAGUGGAGCUGGAGUGUACCUAUAGAAUAAGCACCGGCU